rnacentral:rRNA from 1 species
GACGAACGCUGGCGGCGUGCUUAACACAUGCAAGUCGAACGGACAGGCCCUGCUUUUGUGGGGUGCUCGAGUGGCGAACGGGUGAGUAACACGUGAGUAACCUGCCCUUGACUUUGGGAUAACUUCAGGAAACUGGGGCUAAUACCGGAUAGGAGCUCCUGCUGCAUGGUGGGGGUUGGAAAGUUUCGGCGGUUGGGGAUGGACUCGCGGCUUAUCAGCUUGUUGGUGGGGUAGUGGCUUACCAAGGCUUUGACGGGUAGCCGGCCUGAGAGGGUGACCGGCCACAAUGGGACUGAGAUACGGCCCAGACGCCUACGGGAGGCAGCAGUGGGGAAGAUUGCACAAUGGGCGGGAGCCUGAUGCAGCAACGCCGCGUGCGGGAUGACGGGCUUCGGGUUGUAAACCGCUUUCGCCUGUGACGAAGCGUGAGUGACGGUAAUGGGUAAAGAAGCACCGGCUAACUACGUG